AUACUCUGGUUUUUCUUCAGAUCGCAUAAAUCUUUCGCCUUUUACUAAAGAUUUCCAUGGAAAGAUAAUUGUGGAAGAGGGAGUACAGAAAAAUUGUAAGAUCCACAGGAUCA